rnacentral:rRNA from 1 species
UACGGGGGGGGCAAGCGUUGUUCGGAAUUACUGGGCGUAAAGGGCUCGUAGGUGGCCAACUAAGUCGGACGUGAAAUCCCUCAGCUUAACUGGGGAACUGCGUCCGAUACUGGAUGGCUUGAGUCUGGGAGAGGGAUGCGGAAUUCCAGGUGUAGCGGUGAAAUGCGUAGAUAUCUGGAGGAACACCGGUGGCGAAGGCGGCAUCCUGGACCGGCAUUGACGCUGAGGAGCGAAAGCCAGGGGAGCAAACGGG